UCUCCUUAACCCUUGCUGAUGCUUUAUUCUUAAAAACAAAGAGAAAGCUCAGAGCCCUUGGCAGGCAAAGGGAUCCAGCUAGAACAUCAUACUGUUGGUUUUGUUUCCACAGGAUCUGUUUUUACAGUUUCCUUCUGUUUAUGACAAGUGAUACUGGUUUUCCAGUUAUGGUAGUUGACAAACAUCCCGCAGAAGAUAAAUUAUUUAGAAGUCUGUUGACUGAAAGAAAAGCAUGAAUAAAUAAUAGUUUAUCAUUUAUUAAUAAUAAACAAGGGAACUGAGGAUGUGACAGAAGUCAGGAAGACAUAAGCAGGAAGCAGAACCCUCCAGGAGAAGAGAAUUUUCAAGUCAACCAGUGUUUGUCUUCCUCCUGGGGCCUCACAGAGAUCCGGAUUCAAGCCUCCCCACCUCUGGAGAUCCUGCCCAGAGUGCACUGGAAUUCCUAAGUGUCGGUGUUUCCUGGUUCUCCAUUCAUGUUUGAAGAAGUGGGGUGUCUGGACAAAAUCGUUGGUUGCUGGAACAUCUUUCCUCAGGCCAAGUGGGAAUUCCUGCCACCUAGCUAGAAUGAAGUUUACAAGGGGGCACUCGGCAAACUUCCUGACAACGCUCCCUCCACGCAGCAAACACCCAGCAUGCGCCUCCCAUGCACAGGCAGGCUUGGGCGCUGGACAGUUUAAAGAUGAGAGUUUGUCAUCGGGUCCCCGUAAGUGCAAAGUGAGGCCUGUGUGUGGAGCCAGCACAUGUGGCAGGUGUCCAGGAACCCUUGGUAAUCUCGGGGCCGAGUGACUCAGCAGCCCGUGACAUUGGCGGGCCACCCUUGGAACCUAGCUGGGAAAACCCUCCCCAACCACGGAGCUUCGAGGGCCCCUUUCAAGGCAGAAGAUGUGCGUGUGGGGAGGGCGGCUGACCCGGGGUUAAUAAAUAAGCUUAAAGGUUAAUCCAGCGUGUGACCAAGACAGGCUCACUCUGCGGGUCUGGAAGAUGUCCCGUUACGGAAAAGAGACACUUUAGAAUUCUGAAGAACAGUAUGUGCUAUCAAGACCUUCAAAAGGAUCGUGCAUGGUGAUACUUAUCUGGAGGGAUGUUACUGGAUCCAGCAAGUCCUUCUGCGGGCGGUUCGUAUCGUUACCUCUUUAAUAUUUAUUGAAACUACACUCUCACCGUCCUCAGCCCAGGCAUGGUACGGCGCCUGGCAAAAGCCUCUUGCUGCUUUUCCUCUUUUUAGCCCCGUCUUGUCCAAGCCUAUACCCACACUGGCCAAGAAGAUCUCUCAAAACUGUGAACAUAACUGGAGCUCUCUUUCUUGAAGCUGCUUGUCACCCUCUGGGGCAGAGCCAGCGGGUGGGCUCUGUGCUCAGGGCCCCUUCCUACUCCAGUCCUGUAAUCCUCCAUCCAUACACAUUUUUCUGGGGCCCAGACCUUCUCCUCCCACCU